rnacentral:tRNA from 1 species
GCAUCCAUAGUUCAACGGAUAGAACGUCUGGCUUCGAACCAGGAGGUUGUGGGUUCGAUUCCUGCUGGGUGCGCCA